UGAGGUCAUAGUGAAAGUGAAGCCAGAAAGGAGCUCUACAGCCAGAGUACUGAAGAAUUUGAAUACUAGGCUAGUGUAGUUUAUUUAAUAUCAUUGGAAGUUUUUGUUAUUGUACUUAAUAUGGGAGUGAUUCGUUUGAAAUGCCACUUAGGGACACACCCUCUUCAGCUAACAUAGGAUAUGAGCUUCAAUUCCAGAAACUCUUAGGCAUUCACCAGUGCAAUCAAGGCAUCAGUUGUCAGAGCAGGCCAUUUGUGCAGCCAACAUCAAAUUAUCCAGUACUCGCUAUGUUCCAGGCACUCUGCUUUACUUUCAUUGCGAUUCUUCAGACUUCUGAUAGUGUCCAGAUUACUUCCAGUUGCUAUAUCAUUUCCUCGGCUCCAGGUCCAUUUUCCUACACAUCAAACACUAGACUCGUGCCA
rnacentral:lncRNA from 1 species